UACGUAAGGACCGAGCGUUGUCCGGAAUCAUUGGGCGUAAAGGGUACGUAGGUGGUUAGAAAAGUUAGAAGUGAAAUCCUAUAGCUCAACUAUAGUAAGCUUUUAAAACUGCUCAUCUUGAGGUAUGGAAGGGAAAGUGGAAUUCCUAGUGUAGCGGUGAAAUGCGCAGAUAUUAGGAGGAAUACCGGUGGCGAAGGCGGGUCUCUGGGCAGUAACUGACGCUGAGGUACGAAAGCGUGGGUAGCAAACAGG
rnacentral:rRNA from 1 species